ensembl:lncRNA
GAGAAUUUCCUGUAACAACUUUUGAUGUGGACAUUCUUUUUCACAAAGAAAAUGGACACAAUUCGAUGGAUAUCAAUCAACAAAGAGGUAUACAGAGGAAGAGGCAUACAAAGGUAUGUCAAUUGGUGUUGGUAUGUUAUGCAGAUCACAUGUCCCAUCCUCCUCUCUUAUUUCUUCAAUGAAUAUCCCAUAGGCCUCUACAUUAUGGGUAAGGUAUGUAUAUGAAAACCAUUAUCAAAACUUUUUGUUCCAUUAUCAUUUACCACAAAAACUAAGGUAUGAAUACUGUCAUGUGCAUGUUUUGUUAAUCAUCUGUAUAAUUACUAUUUUUUGGAUCCACAUACUUCACCCUCUUUACACCUCUGAUCAAUAUAACAGGAAACCUGUUUGAUCACCAUGCACUGCAAAAUCAUUCUGGCUAUGGAUACGGAGAGCUUCAACACAUUAACAUCAACACGCCAGAGGAUAUACCCAUUGGACUUUGCUGGGCUAUGCUGGGAGUCUACCUCAUAUUUGGAUUUUUUUUAUUCUGCUUUGUCACUAAAAUCUUUUCUUUUUUUUCUAAAAUAUUGUGUUAUUGUUAUGCGUAUUAUUAAUAAUAAUACUGGGGGGGUCCAUCAAAAUGUUAUUAGAGGAUCCAUCAAAAGGGUUCUUCAAAGAACUUAUGGGGGUUCCCCCACAGUUUCAAUUUGAAGAACCCCUAAAGGAAAUUCCAUAUGAAAUCACUGUAAGUAGGUAAUGCCAACAAAAGCUGUCAAAGUAAACAAAGCAAUAUGUAUUUACUGUGCAGACUUGAUUUUAUGCAGUUACACAGAAAUCAUAUGCAACACACAGCUCUCAAGCUCACCUUCAUAUAUCCACAAACACCCAGUAAUCUGAUCUCACAACCCCACCAUUCUCCUGCAGGCAACAACUGGCCUAAAGGAAUUUUAAAAAUGUCCUUGAAAUUAUAAAGGGGGAUUAGAGAGAGCCUGGUCCAUCCACGGCUAAAUAUCUAAUGAUAAGCCUGUUAAAUCCGGGGGCCAAGGCUGGCUAUGGAGAUUUACCAAGACAAGCAAUACGCACACUUUGUUCCCUCCACUUACCUCCCGUUUCUGCCUCUAUUUAUUUAACAAUGCACUUGUUUGUAGACAUUGCAUGACUGUGUUUGGUUAGCAUGCAUGGUUGUAGCUAGUUUGUUUAGCCUAGUUACACUACGUGAGUAUGUGGACAUCUGCUCGUCGAACAUCUCAUUCCAAAAUCAUGAGCUUUAAUAUGGAGUUUGCUGCUUUAACAGCCUACACUCUUCUGCGAAGGCUUUCCACUAGAUGUUGAGAUGUUGCUGCGAGGACUUGAUUCCAUUCAGCCAAAAGAGCAUUAGUGAGGUCGGGCACUGAUGUUGGGCGAUAAGGCCUGGCUCGCAGUCAGUGUUCCAAUUCAUCCCAAAGGUGUUUGAUAGGGUUGAGGUCAGGGCUCUAUGCAGGCCAGUCAAGUUCUUCCACACCGAUCUCAACUAACCAUUUCUGUAUGGACCUCGCUUUGUGCACGGGGGCAUUGUCAUGCUGAAACAGGAAAGGGCAUUCCCCAAACUGUUGCCACAAAGUUGGAAGCACAGAAUCAUCUAGAAUGUCAUUGUAUGCUGUAGCAUUAAGAUUUCCCUUCACUGUAACUAAGGGGCCUAUUCCGAACCAUGAAAAACAGCCCGAGAACAUUUUUUCUCCUCCAUCAAAAUGUACAUUUGGCACUAUGCAUUGGGACAGGUUCUCCUGGCAUCCACCAAACCCAGAUUUGUCCGUCGGACUGCCAGAUGGUGAAGCGUGAUUCAUCACUCCAGAAAACGCGUUUCAACUGCUCCAGAGUCCAAUGGCGGCGAGAUUUACACCACUCCAGCUGAUGCUUGGCGUUGCACAUGGUGAUCUUAGCCUUGUGUACGGCUGGUCGGCCAUUGAAACCCAUUUCAUGAAGCUCCCGGCAAACAGUUAUUUUGCUGACAGAGGCCGUUUGGAACUCGAUAGUCAGUGUUGCAAGUGAAUAUAGAUGAUUUUUAUGCGCUACGCGCUUCAGCACUCGACGGUCCCGUUCUGUGAGCUUGUGUGGCUUGUCACUUCGCGGCUGAGCCUUUGUUGCUCCUAGACAUUUCCACCUCACAAUAACAGCACUUACAGUUGACCAGGACAGCUCUAGCAGGGCAGAAAUUUGACAAACUGACUUGUUGGAAAGGUGGCAUCCUAUGAAGUGCCACGUUGAAAGUCACUGAGCUCUUCAGUAAGGCCAUAUUACUGCCAAUGUUUGUCUAUGGAGAUUGCAUGGCAGUGUGCUCGAUUUUAUACACCUGUCAGCAAUGGGUGUGGCUGAAAUAGCCGAAUCCACUAAUUUGAAGGGGUGUCCACAUACCCUUGUAUAUAUAGUGUAGGUUGAACGGACACACACAAAGUUUAUAAUGGCCGGAGUUGUUCCAGCAGAUAUUCAAGCAGACAGAGAGUGACUCACCCAUUUAGGUAAUGCUAAAUAGACAUCUGUUAAAGGGUUUUGAUACAGUGUAGCAAAUGUGUAAUAUAUAAACAGUGUAAUAAAGUAAUUUUAUUUCUCAGUACAGUGGAACAAGUCCAUUAUAAUUCAUUCACAUCUAAUUUGACGCUAUAGUGUCAGACUUGUGUGACUGGUAUGGGACAUUAUGACCAGAGUAAAGUCUAUAAAGGACAUUUCUGUUGUUUCAUCAUCGGAGCUGCCCAGUCAAUAUUCUGACAAACACAGAGCAGGUCCCAGGUAAACAGAAACGUCCACAGGCAUCAGAUAAGAAGCAACAGUCAGACGACGUGGACUCCAUUCAGUUACCAUGCAGGAUAAUAUACUGCGGAGAUAAGGGUGUUUCUCUGUGUGUUUGCUGCGGGGUCGAUCCACCUCAAAAAGCACAACAAAGAGGAUUUCAACACCCACCAUCUCAUAUUUUUCUGAAAUUGUUUCUGUUGUUCAAAACAGAUAAGAUUAGCAUUUUUGCAACAUUAGUUUAUUGAAAUAUAAUUGAAUCUCUGAGAAAUUAAGCUAAUUGAUUGCAGGAUUCAUAUAAUAUUGAAUA